rnacentral:rRNA from 1 species
UACAGAGGGGGCUAGCGUUGUUCGGAAUUACUGGGCGUAAAGGGCGCGUAGGUGGCCUGUUAAGUCGAACGUGAAAUCCCCGGGCUCAACCCGGGAACUGCGUCCGAGACUGGCAGGCUCGAAUCCGGGAGAGGGAUGCGGAAUUGCCGGUGUAGUGGUGAAAUGCGUAGAGAUCGGCAGGAACACCCGUGGCGAAAGCGGCUUCCUGGCUCAGUCCUGACACUCAGAUGCGAAAGCUAGGGGAGCGAACGGG